CGUCAAAUGCUCCUGCUGAAGCCAUGGUGAUGGAUGAAGAUGAAGAGCUGGAGAGAGUGAUGCUGAGCAUUUCUCCUACCAAGCAACAUGAGCAAAGCUCUGUUUCUGCACCAGCAUCAUCAACUGCCAGACCACCACAGGCUUCUGGAACAGAUAGAGGUUCUUAACCAAAACGUCCUGCAUCAGCAGACAACUCUGGGACCAUGAAUUCUUAUCCCAAUAUGAAGCAUGACUUAAAGCUUUCCGUCUCAUGUUGACCAUGUUCUGGUCAUGUUUGUGUUUUGGUGUUCUACCUA